rnacentral:rRNA from 1 species
UACGUAGGGUGCGAGCGUUGUCCGGAAUUAUUGGGCGUACAGGGCUCGUAGGCGGUUUGUCGCGUCGGGCGUGAAAACACCGGGCUUAACUCGGUGCUUGCUUUCGAUACGGGCAGACUAGAGGCAUGCAGGGGAGAACGGAAUUCCUGGUGUAGCGGUGAAAUGCGCAGAUAUCACGAGGAACACCGGUGGCGAAGGCGGUUCUCUGGGCCGAUACUGACGCUGAGGAGCGAAAGCGUGGGGAGCGAACAGG